AACGAACGCUGGCGGCAGGCUUAACACAUGCAAGUCGAACGGGCGUAGCAAUACGUCAGUGGCAGACGGGUGAGUAACACGUGGGAACCUUCCUCGUAGUACGGGACAACUCAGGGAAACUUGAGCUAAUACCGUAUACGUCCGAGAGGAGAAAGAUUUAUCGCUAUGAGACGGGCCCGCGUCCGAUUAGGUAGUUGGUGGGGUAACGGCCUACCAAGCCUACGAUCGGUAGCUGAUCUGAGAGGAUGAUCAGCCACACUGGGACUGAGACACGGCCCAGACUCCUACGGGAGGCAGCAGUGGGGAAUCUUGGACAAUGGGGGAAACCCUGAUCCAGCCAUGCCGCGUGAGUGAAGAAGGCCUUAGGUUGUAAAGCUCUUUGCUAGGGACGAUAAUGACGGUACCUGGAGAAUAAGCCCCGGCAAACUUCGUGCCAGCAGCCGCCGCGGUAAG
rnacentral:rRNA from 1 species